rnacentral:lncRNA from 12 species
ACUUUGUAAUUAAAACCUUGCAAGUUUUAUGACUUAAAAUAUUAUUUUUUUAAUGAAUCAAUAACUUUGAAUUCAAAAGUAAAGGACAUUAUAAAAGGAUAAAGAAAGUAGCAUCCUCAUUUGGUAGUUAUGGAGGAACAGGCUAUCACGGCAGGGUAAUGAGGUUUUUGUAUUCUGAUACUGUGGGUUCAAGAUGAAUUUUACUCUCAGGUAACUAUAUCUUAACCCUCUUACCUCUUCUUUAACUCUUCCCUCUACUGACAGGGUGGUGCUUGUACAAAUCCUGGGCUCUGAAAGCUGGAGAGUGGCCGGUGGGUCUGCUCUGUGAUUUCCCCCCUCUCUGUGAGUGUGUGGACCCCGUUCCCAGCUUGGAGCUGCUCAGCUUAGGUUCAGUAAGGUUUUCCUCUUGACUUCACAUAAAACACCAGAUGUGAGCUGCUUGAAUUAAAGUGCAUUGGAAGUAGAGAAAGGCAGAAAUAAUAUCUUAGCCAAAUCACAUCCUUUUCUCAAAUCUUUGAAUUUGUACUGUGUGUUUUAUGUUUCUGGCAUUGGUAUAUCUCUUUCCUUUCCAUUCAAAUAAUUAGAGUGUGCCUCUCUGCUGAGGAGUUGGAGGCUUGGCUUUACUUUCCUUCUGCUUGUCUCAGAGAAAAGAAAAUCCUGUCUGUUGGCCCCUUUGAUACUCUUUCUGAAUUUUUGGCUACUUCAGGAAUAGAAUAACUAAGCACAGUGAGCCUGCCCUCUUGCUGCUCCUGCCCAUGCCCACAUCUCUGUGAGGUAUGCAAAUGAUGUAGGUGCUUCCCCCUGCAAAUUACCUGGGGGCCAUGUUACGUUUCUGAGAUUUGUUUGUUUGAGAACAGAACAAUGAUGCACACUAGUACAUCACUAAACCCUGUAUUUCUGGAAAGGGUGGCGGCUUGAGGAUGGAAGGGACAGCUGUCUUCCUUCCCCGCUCUGCAAGCCCAGUGGAGCCUCCUGUGAAAUCUUUGUUCUGCUUGAUGGGAGGCUCAGGAAGAACUGUUUCCUACAUGGGACACUUUUCCUCCCACCUCUUCUCUACAACUUGUAGAUUUAAGUGA